rnacentral:rRNA from 1 species
UACGGGGGGGGCAAGCGUUGUUCGGAAUCACUGGGCGUAAAGGGCUCGUAGGCGGCCAACUAAGUCAUACGUGAAAUCCCUCAGCUUAACUGGGGAACUGCGUGUGAUACUGGAUGGCUUGGAUUUGGGAGAGGGAUGCGGAAUUCCAGGUGUAGCGGUGAAAUGCGUAGAUAUCUGGAGGAACACCGGUGGCGAAGGCGGCAUCCUGGACCAAUAUUGACGCUGAGGAGCGAAAGCCAGGGGAGCAAACGGG